GCUAAGUUUUGUGCAUCUGAGACACUGUACGCACAUCAAACGAGAUCCCUGCAUAAUACACAACAUGAGUCCCAACAUGAGAAAAGAUUAAGCAAACUAUGUGUGUUUGUCUUUUUGUGUCUUGCAGACAUCGCUGAAGAACUUCGUAGUGAGCGGCUGGAGCCAGAGCCCCCUCGCAUUAAAGAGGAAGUGAAGGACGAAGAGGUCCACCACAUCAAAGAGGAAGAGGAUCCAAUUUCAAUUAAAAAAGAGGAGAAAGAACUGCACCCCCACAUCAGACAGGAAAAGGAGGAGGAUGUCACCAAGUUUCCAUCGACUGGUGUACCUUUGAAAAGUGAAGAUGAAUGUCAAAGUGAGGAGAGCAGAGGGGCGGAGCCUCCAAGCAGCAGCUCAAGUCAACACAUGACAACAGAAGGUGAUGAAGACCACUGCGGAGGAUCACCAGCAGACGGCCUCUUCGGUCCACUAUCAGAUAGUGAUGACAUGACGUCGCACUCAACUCAUGAUGAUGAUUGUGAUGAUGGAGAGUCUGAAAUUGAUGUGACAUUUCAGACUGACAACAAACGAUGUUCUCAGUGUGGGAAAACAUUUGAUAAUAAGUAUAGUAUGAAACAACACAUGAGAACACACACUCGUGAGAAACUUUUUGUCUGCUUAGUUUGUGGUCAAAGAUUUACUCAGAAGGGAACCUUGAAAAUACACAUGAGAACCCACACUGGUGAGAAACCUUUUUCCUGCUCAGUUUGUUGUAAAAGAUUCUCUCGAAAGGGACAUUUGACAAGUCACACAAGAACCCACACUGGUGAGAAACCUUUUUCUUGCUCAGAUUGUGGUCAAAGAUUCUCUCAUAAGGGAAACUUAAAAAAACACACAAGAACCCACACUGAUGAGAAACCUUUUUCUUGCUCAGUUUGUGGUCAAAGAUUCUUUGUGAAGGGAAGCUUAAAAAUACACAAAAGAAUUCACACUGGUGAGAAACCUUUUUCCUGCUCAGUUUGUGGUCAAAGAUUUACUCGGAAGGGAAGUUUAAAAAUACACACAAGAACACACACGGGUGAGAAACGUUUUUCCUGCUCAGUUUGUGGCCAAAGAGUCUCUUAUAAGUAUCAGGUUAAGACACACAAGUGUGCUGGUGAGAAUAGCAGUGCUCAAGAAGAUUUUAAUGCAAGUGUAAAUGUUUAAUUUAAAAAGUAAUUACUAUUUUACUGACAAAAAUGUACAUUCUAGUAUUCUGUGUACCAGCUUUUAUUGUAUCUGUCGUCUUGUUCUCCAUAGCGACAAUCCCCCCAAGCUGAGAACAAUAGCACACUCGCCAACGACUUGAAUACCUUCUACUGCAAAUUUGAAAAGGUCGUGUGUUCUUCCAUCACAGUCGGGUUUGGUGCUGCUACAAAAAAGGACAAACCCCGACUGCAACGGACAAUCAAAACUGCUGAAAGAAUUGUCGGUACCCCCCUACCCACCCUUGAGGACUUGCACGCUGCCAGAACUAAGACGAGCGUGCAAAAUCCUCUCGGACCCUCCGCAUCCCGGUCACCGGCUCUUCCAGCUCCUUCCCUCAGAAAGGAAGCGCAAUGAUCCCCUCCAGCCUGACUACGUGCCAAGUUUAUUCAGUUUCACCUCCACCGCUGAUCGGAAUCGGGCUGUCCACAAACUGGAAAGUUGUGUACAAUCUCAAAAGGUUUCGGAGAAAAGACUUGUGAGCACAAGUAGAGAGCUAGCUGCCGCAGCUCUUCUGAUUCUGCAUCAAAUUCCUGCACCAGAAGCAGAGGUCCAGAUGGAUGAAGUCCCUGGGACUGAGGUCCAGACAGACGAGACACACAUUGCGUCGUUACAUGAACAGAUUCAAUCAUCAAACACUGAAUGUCGGUCACUGAGGGAUAAAGUUCACAGUUUAGAAAGUGAGUUGAAACAGUGCACCCUUGACCCUUCACAAUUUGAUGACAAGAAAAUAACAUUUUUCACAGGACUGCCCAAUUUACAGACUUUCAUGUUCUUGUUUGGAUUUGUGUUAUUUUCUUCCUACCACUGAAGAACGUUCCCCCAAGUCUGCUCAGGAGAUUUGUCUGACACUGAUAAAGCUGCGUCUCAAUCUGUCUGAGGAAUUUUUCGGCUACCUCUUUGGGAUUCAUCAGUCAACAGUAUCAAUAAUCUUUCGCCGUUGGACACAAGUCACGGCAAGCAGGCUUCCUCCUCGAAUACUGUGGCCGUAAAGAGAAGACUUAAGAUGCAGCUUCCCAUUGUGCUCUUCCGGGGGGAACCCGAGGCGUUCCCGAGCCAGCCGGGAGACAGUCUCUCCGGCGUGUCCUGGGUCAUCCACGGGCUCUCCUCCCGAUGGAACAUGGCCGGAACACCUCACCAGGGAGGCGUCCAGAAGGCAUCCUAAUUAUAUGCCCGAGUCACCUCAUCUGGCUCCUCUCAAUGCGGAGGAGCAGCGGCUCAUCUCUGAGCUCCGAACUCCGAGCCUCUCACCCUAUCUCUAAGGGCGAGCCCGGACACCUUGUGGAGGAAACUCAUUUUGGUCGCUUGUAUCCAAUGUGUGUGUAAUGCAAUAAAACCUUACAAGCUGUAGCUGUACCACGUCCUUGAUGAAGCCUUGCUCAACAAGUAAUCAGAAAUAAGUCAUCAAUUGUCAUUGUCACACUUCUGAGGACCUAGGUUCAAAUCUGUGUGGAGUUUGCAUGUUCUCCCCGUGCCUGCGUGGGUUUUCUCCGGUUUCCUCCCACAUCCCAAAAACAUGCAUGGUAGGUUGAUUGACAACUCUAAAUUGCCCGUAGGUGUGACUGUGAGUGCGAAUGGUUGUUUGUUUGUAUGUGCCCUGCGAUUGGCUGGCAAUCAGUUCAGGGUGUACCCCGCCUCCUGCCCGAUGAUAGCUGGGAUAGGCUCCACCACGCCCGCGACCCUAGUGAGGAGAAGUGGCUCAGAAAAUGGAUGGAUGGAUGCAUUUUUGCAACUUACUCUGACAGUUGCAUACUUUACAAUAGGUACUUCUUUCCAUGUGUAACCAAGUAUGGGCACCUCCAUAAAUAAAUGCCAAACUGCGAGAAUGCAGGGGUCCACUGUAUUACUAUGAUUGAUACUUGUUGUUUCAUGCAUGUUAUUAUUUUACACUUGUUCACAUUUUAUUGUUAAUGUUGACCUGCUAUUUUUAUUAUAUCCAAUAAACCUUAACUCAACUGACUGUCUGUCACGAGCGGCCAUGCCGUAAGGGCAGAUCCCCAAAAAAUAGACUCCAGGUCAGAGGUCCGAACAAUUUUAAUUUCAUGGAAGAGCAUGUGAUGGCGAGACAUACGAAACUAAAGGAACUCACAACCAGAGAGAAUCAAAAACAGAUAACGCAGGGAGACACGACAAACGGUCCGUGUGGUAUAAUCGUAUUGAGCCUAAAUUUGGACAGCGGUCAGAACGGCGGCAAACACGGGGCAAAAACGAGUGAAUAUUCCGACACCCACACACUGUCACGGUGCCCCCUAAAAAGGCUGAUGAUUACAAUGCAUGACAGGUGCGUCACCGAUGUCCACGCCCACCCAGACACUGCAACACAAAGAAAAACAACCAUGACAGUAUCCCCCCCUCAAAGGACGCCUCCUGGCGGACCACCCGGCUUCUGCGGGUGGAGAGAGUGGAAGGCCCGGAGAAGGGAUGGAUCUAGGAUCCAAGAGCGGUGAACCCAGGAACGCUCCUCAGGGCCGUAACCCUCCCAGUCGACCAAAUACUGCACACCCCUGCCCCUUCUUCUGCAAUCCAAUAGUUCACCCACAGUGUACACUGGCUCACCAUCAACCACCCGCGGAGGAGGAGGAGGAGGAGGCACAACUGGAGGACACAGGGGGCUGGAGGAAACCGGUUUGAGCAAGGAGACAUGGAAUACCGGGUGAACUUUCAUGGUGGGAGGGAGCCGAAGUUUAACUGCCACCGGGUUAACAACAGAGUCAAUUUCGAAAGGACCAAUAUACCGAGGACCCAGUUUUUUAGAACCCCCGGCCAAAUGCAAAUCUCGUGUGGACAACCAGACCUUCUCACCAGGACGGUAGGGAGGAGCUGAGAUCCGAUGACGAUCAGCUAACUGCCUGUUGCGAGCCUCAGUACGGGACAAGGCCGCCCUUGCAUCCCGUCACACCCGAUGAGCCCUUCGGAGAUGGACCUGUACAGACGGGACGACCACCUCCCUCUCCUGAGAAGGGAACAACGGCGGCUGGUAACCGUAUGCAGUCAUGAAUGGCGACCGUCCAGUAGCAGAGCAAACGAGGGUGUUAUGCGCAUAUUCCACCCAAGGCAGGUGAGAAGACCACGACGAGGCGUGCUGAUGGCAAACACAGCGAAGAGCAGCCUCAACAUCUUGAUUCGCCCUCUCAGCCUGGCCGUUGGUCUGUGGGUGGAAACCGGAUGAGCGACUGUUCUCGUCUACUUUGUCGACCAAUCAGCUCUCUCCAGCCACUCGUGUCUUGUCCAGGUGUUCCUCGUUGUCUCGUCAAUUUGUUUGUAUUUAGUUCCCUGGUUUCUUUCAGUUCCUGUCGGUUCAUUGUCGUUGUCACAUGUCUUGCCAUGUCAUAGUCGCCAGUUGUUUUUAUCAUUGUGAUUAAAUAUUAUUAUUUUGAGAUUCCCACACUCCUGCCUUGCCUCCCUGCUUCCCUGCAAUUGGGUCCACCAUGUUCUUGCCUUGCGUUCCUCGCCUUCGCCCUAACCACGUAUGUGACAGAAUGAACCGACCAGAACAGGACCCAGCGGGAAGAACAAGGCGUCACCCUGGACACCACCAAACUACCUCCCACCGUCCUCAGCCUGCCAUCCAUACCUACCCUCCUCCAGCUGAGGAAGCGACUGCAGGCUCCCGUUCCUGCUCCUCGGCAGCUGCGGCAGGCUCCCGUUCCUGCUCCUCGGAAGCUGCGGCAGGCUCCCGUUCCUGCUCCUCGGCAGCUGCGCCAGGCUCCCGUUCCGGC